UACGAAGGGGGCUAGCGUUGCUCGGAAUUACUGGGCGUAAAGGGCGCGUAGGCGGGAUGGCAAGUCGGUCGUGAAAUCCCUCGGCUCAACCGAGGAACGUCGAUCGAUACUGCUGUUCUUGAGGAUUGCAGAGGAGACUGGAAUUCCCGGUGUAGCGGUGAAAUACGUAGAGAUUGGGAAGAACACCAGUGGCGAAGGCGGCUAUCUGGACGGUUUCUGACGCUAAGACGCGAAAGCGUGGGGAGCAAACAGG
rnacentral:rRNA from 1 species